UACGAAGGGGGCUAGCGUUGCUCGGAAUGACUGGGCGUAAAGCGCACGUAGGCGGCUUUCUAAGUCAGGGGUGAAAUCCUGGAGCUCAACUCCAGAACUGCCUUUGAUACUGAGGAUCUUGAGUUCGGGAGAGGUGAGUGGAACUGCGAGUGUAGAGGUGAAAUUCGUAGAUAUUAGGAAGAACACCAGUGGCGAAGGCGGCUCACUGGCCCGGAACUGACGCUGAGGUACGAAAGCGUGGGGAGCAAACAGG
rnacentral:rRNA from 1 species